rnacentral:rRNA from 1 species
UACGUAGGGGGCUAGCGUUGUCCGGAAUCAUUGGGCGUAAAGAGCGUGUAGGCGGCCCGGUAAGUCCGCUGUAAAAGUCAAAGGCUCAACCUUUGAAUGUCAGUGGAUACUGCCGGGCUAGAGUCCGGAAGAGGCGAGUGGAACUCCUGGUGUAGCGGUGGAAUGCGCAGAUAUCAGGAAGAACACCAGUGGCGAAGGCGGCUCACUGGCCCGGUACUGACGCUGAGGUGCGAAAGCGUGGGGAGCGAACAGG